AGCUGAAACAUAAAAGCAGCGUUUGUUUCUGUUCCUGGUGGCUCCACCCGGAGAAACCUGCUUGUCUGUGAGGCAAGCCAAACAAAGCAAGAGGGGUAUUUAGGUCAGCGUUUGAUUGUCCGUAGCAUUUCUUACUUUUUUGUUUCCUUAUUGAAAAAUGUAAAUGAUGACUAAAAAAGGGAACGCAGCCAGGUUAUGGGAACACGAUAGACUUACUGGAACAUCGGAGAAGUAAACUUGUGCAAAAGCAAGAACAUUUCCUCUGGUAUAUAAAGCAUUGUUGAUUAAGUACAGGUCAAGGAAGACUAAAAUAUGAAGACUUUGGUUGCUGCAUUGGCUCUGUGCCUCCUCUACCUGCCUGUGUACCAGGCACACAGCCCUUAUCUACGGACAAACAUUGACAACAAAAUUGAAGAGAUGGAGGCCAGACUGACAAAAACUGAAAAAGAGUUGAUGGAUCACAAGCAGAUGACCGAGCCAGAAAAACUGCCAGAAGAAUGAUGACAUAUUAAGAGAGCUGGAGGCCAAACUGAAAGACACUGAGAAACAAGUAGAGGAUCUGAGGGCAGAUCAAGGUCAGCGUGUGGCAUUUGGAGCAUCUUUAGGUCCCGUUGGAGAUGUUGGACCUUUCAACGCUGACAUCACACUGACCUAUAAGAAGGUCUUCACAAACACCGUCGCAUACAACCCUGGAA